UUUUAAAGAUGAGGAAAGUGAGGCACAACGAGGUUAUGCAACUUGCCCAAGGUAACACAAUUAGCAAGCAGGGGAGCUGGAAAUAGGACUCAGAUAGACUUCAUCAGAAAGAGCUCACAAUUUGAAAACAAGUACCAUUCAAUAAAUGGUGCUAUGGGAGUUCCCGUCGUGGCUCAGCAGUUAACAAACUCGACUAGUAUCCAUAAAGAUGUGGGUUCAAUCCCUGGCCUCACUCAGUGGGUCAGGGAUCCAGCACUGCCAUGAGCUGUGGUGUAAGUGGGAGACACAGCUUGGAUCCUGUAUUGCUGUGGCUGUGGCGUAGGCUUCACAGCUGUAGCUCUGGUUUGACCCCUAGCCUGGGAACUUCCAUAGGCAUUGGGUGUGGCCCUAAAAAGACAAAAGACAAAAAAAAAAAAAAAAAAAAAAGGUUCUGGGAUAAUUAAUUAUACAUUAACAAAAAAUGAAAUGCCCCUACCUCACACUAACCACAAAAGUCAAUUCCAGACAGAGAUCUAAACAUCAAAGGCAAACAGUAGAGAUUCAAAAGGUUAAUAUAAAGAAUAACUUCAAGGGUUCCCACUGUGGCACAGCAGGUUAACAAUCCAACUACAGCAGCUCAGGUGGAUAGGAGACACAGGUUUUUGAUCCCCUCCCAGCGCAGUGGGUUUAGGAUCCAGUGUUGCCACAGCUGUGGUGUAGGUUGCAGCUGAGGCUCAGAUUCAAUCCCUGGCCUGGGAACUUCCAAAUGCUGUGUGCAUGGCCAUAAAAAAGAAUAACUUCAAAAUCUUGGGGGAGGAAAAGAUUGAUAAACUUAAUUAAAAUCCAGACCUUCUUUUUAACAAAAGAUAACUAGUUUAAAAAAUUAACAACAAAUUCGGAAAUGAAAUCUGUAAUAAUACAACCAACAAAGGAUUAAUAAUCAGAAAAUAUAAAGAAAUCUUUUGAAAAAGAUAACCCAAUAGAAAACCGACGAAACGAGCCCUAGAAUGGCUGUGAAAACUUGGCACUAACCACAGCUGCCACACAGUGGACCCCGAAACAGUAGAUCUUGGCAUCACUGACCAAUAUAAAAUAUUCAAGGGUUUAUGUCAUGCUGCAGGUACACAGAGUAUGAGGGACCAAACCAGAAAGACAGUGCCAUCAUAUAGGAACUGGAUGGUAAAUCAGAAGUUUAAUGUCCAACAUUCAGCUACAUAGAUUAGGGAAUGGCAAACAUCAUGAGCAAACGGUCAGAAACUUUGCAAUGGCUUCCAAAAGUCUAUUACUCUACCAAAAACAUCUUUCCCUUAUUAUCUGAGACAAUUCUCUCUCAUUUUCCUUUCAACCUUUUUUUAAACUUCUUUGACAGCCAUCAUCCCAAACUAGAAAUGUAAAAAAAUUCACCCUCUCUCUCACUACUCACAACGUAAUUAUAUCAAUACGUGAAAAUUCUAACUCUGUUCAAUGCUUACAGUUUCUGCCUUAGUUCAGGCCCUCAUGACUACUUCCCUGCUAUCCUGUUCACGCUCCUUCCAAAACACAUCCAUUUAUCCCCUAAAAAUUAAACCUCAUUGUAACUCCUUGAAAACUCUGACUACCUCUCUAAAAUCCAAGGAUUCAGUCCAAAUUCCUUAACAAGGUCCUUCACAAUCAGGUCCCAAAACAACCUUCCCAGUCUCAUCUCCAACCACUCUCACAACACACUAUGCUCCAGCCACAUUACAUUACAUUCCCAUGCAUGCCCUUACCUGAAAGCUCUUCUCUCCAAUUCUGCAUCUGGCAAACUACUCUACCCUUCAGGACACACAUCAAGGGUCACUUGUUCACAGAGCCUUCCCGGAUUCCUAGAGCAGAGACAUACCUUCUUCUGUGUCCUUCUUACUACCUACAUACCUACUUACAUACCUACAUCUGUAUCCUUCAUGUAACUCUCCUUUGGCGCUUACCAUCCUGAACUGUCAUUGUUUACAUGUUCACUUCUCUCAUGGGACUAAAUAUCCAAAGUGAAAACACCCUGCCUUGCUAUAAAGACCUUAAGACUCCUCAGAGCCUAGCAUGGUGGUUGACCUAAGUAGAUGUCUUAGGGCACAAUAAAUGUGGUUUGAAUGGAAGACAUUCUUUGUGGUUUCUUAACCUGAGGUUCAUACAUGGGAGUCCACAGACAGAAUUCAGGGGCAUCUGUGAACUUGGACAGGAAAAAAAAUUACCUCUUUAUUUUCACUGACUUCUAACCAAAAGGAACUAUUUUCUUCAAAUAUGAAUGUAGGCAAUAAACCAUCUGGUAUUAGCAGUAUCUGUGUCUCUGCACAGUAAUCACAGAUAUCUUUAUAUUACAGUUGUUACAGCUAUCUUAAAAAUUACAGAUAUUCAUCACAUCUUUAAAAGUAUAAUUAUUGGACAUAUAUCUGUAUUAUUAUAUCACAACUUGUAUACUUAGGUAUUUCAAUAUUAAUUGGUUUCUCUAUACUCCAAUGUAUUUUAUUUUAUGCAAUUAAAAACUAUUCUGAGAAGAAUCCAUAACCUUUGCUAGAUGCUAAAGGGCAUAGACAAAGUUAGGCCUUCCAGCAUAGAGAGACCCAAAACAAAUAAAUUAUGUUGCUGUAUACAGGUACUGGACAUAUACUGAAAAUCUUAUUGCUACAAACAUCCUCAUAACCUUUUUGUUGAAAGUCCUUUUUGUUAUGUGGGAGCCCUGGAAUUACUUAUAUGACUAAUUUGCAGUUUCUCUCAGAAUUCCCUCAUAGCCCAUGGGGACUGUGAAUUCUUCUCUACCAUGAUUAAACUUCAAUUACAGUUUGGUCAUGAUAGAGAUCCUGGGUCUCUACCAUCGUUUACUAUUGCCUUCUUAAGCUUUUUGUGUCCCUUUGCUGUUUAGUAAACACCUAAAAGAGACGGAGCAGCUCUUAAACCUCUAGAAAGUUAGAUGUCAAAAGGGUCCUAAAGAUAAAUUCUCUGGACAAAUGAAACUUCUCUCAUCAAAUAGCUGGUUACCUAUACUUUUUUUGUAUCCUAUUCAGUGUUGUUUUGUUUUGUUUCCUAUGGCCCCAUCCCCAGCACAUGGAAUUUCCCUUGCCAGGGACAGAAUGUGAGCCACAGCUGCAGCAAUGCUGGAUCCGUCAAUCCACCGUGCAGGCCAGGGAUGGAACCAGCACCUCUGCAGCGACCCAAGCUGCUGUGGUCAGAUUCUUAACCCACUGGGCUCCUGUAUCCCUUUCAGUUUUUGUACUAGACAAACUCAUUACAAAAACAAAAUAAAUUACUUAAUGAUUCUUUGACAUAUGCUGCCAUGCUUGACUCCCUAACAAUUUCUCCCAGCUAGCAAAUUCCUCUAAGACAAUGUGUUGAAUGAGACAGCAGCAGGCUAAGUUCCAGUACCUCUUCUGCCAUUAACUGCUUAGAUCUUUAGAAGUCAUGUUUUCCUUUCUGUCUCAGCUAAAAUCACUACAUGAUCUGAAAUCCUUACAUGAUCUAAGAACUAUACAUUCAUUCCUCUGCACCAUUUCUACUGGCUUCACUAACACCUUUCGGAUGACCUCCCCAGGUGACCCUGCUCUUAAAACAGUGGGCUGUUCCCUUCCUGGGAAGACACCUUGGGUCACCGCCCACAAACAGCCUGGUCCCUCCUUUUAAAGACACACACAAACUCCCAAAGUUGAUGGAGACUCUUCUGGCCAACCACUUUCAUUCCGCAUCUCUUGCUGGCCAGCUCCUGCAUCCAAACCUCAGUCCCCCUUUUCUCUUUUCCUCAUCAAAGCCUUACUUUAUUCUGUUCCUCUUCCCAAUGAGGAGUGGAGGAUCCUGAGGGCAAAUAUGUCCUCAGCC
ensembl:lncRNA